UUAUUAUAUUAAACUAACUAAAUAAAAGAAAUAAAAAGAUGGAAAAAGAGAAAUGGAAACAGAAUAGGCAAACGAAAACAGGGGAGAAAGGAAAGAAAAAGAAAAAGGGAAGCAAAGGAAGAAAAUUUGGGAUUUCAAGAUUCCAAGCUCAAUUGGUUAGUAGAAAGUCAGUGUCCGGUCCAGCAUCCAGAGUAAUCCCGACCUCAGAGAAAUUUUAGUGAUGUACCUUUGUUUGAUAAUGUGGCAUGUACCUAGGUGAUGUAUAGGUUAAGUAUAAAAGUUUUGUUAUUACGGUUGUAGAAUGAUGUUUAAACUAGUUAUAAGUUAUCUGGUAUAUCCAGUAAUGCUCCGUAACUCUGUUCCGGCGACGGUUUAGGGUUAAGGAGUGUUACAUUACUUGUGUAAAAUAAUUUUUUACGCAACUUUAUAUUAAUUGAAAUAUGUUACUUGACAAAUUUA